GCAUUCUCCAUUUUCAUCAUCUCUAAAAUCUCCAAGUCACACUUCCAAGAGUUUGUAGUGAGGAUGAGAUUUGGGAAGAUUGUGGAAGGCUUGAAGUCGAAGAUAAAGGCAAGUCUAAGGAUGAGGAAGAGAUCCUCACUAUCAUCAUCAUCGUCCUCAUCAUCAUUAUCAUCAUCAUCGUAUGAGAAGAUAGAGAAAAGUGACAGUAUGAGGUUUGAGUUAAGAAGCAGAAAGGCACACAAAAUUAUCCAACAAACUCUUCGGAUUGCCGACUCUCCAACCUCAAGAACUUAUGCUUUCUGAUUUCAUCUUUUUACCAUCCAAAACACAUUCAUACAUACAUAUGGACUUGUGUUUACGCAUAUCCGUUUAUACAUAUCCAUCUAAAUUAUUAUAAAGUGUGUAUGUAUGUGUGAAAGGUUAUAUGGAUGAUGUCAUGGGUGAUGGAUCCCAUCUUGGCUAAUGGAUGGUGAUUAUGUGAAUUCAACGUUAAUGGUCAUUAGUAUUUCUGU
rnacentral:precursor_RNA from 1 species